rnacentral:lncRNA from 1 species
GGGUCCGCCCGUUUCUCUAAUCAAGCUGUAACACUCACUGCUGUGGUCCACAGCUUCAUUCCUUGAAGCCCGUGAGACACGAACGCUUCGACUGAGAGAAACCCAUCAGAAGAAGACUUCUCGUCUCAACGGGACUGCUGAGUUGAAUGAGAUGAGGUUUCACCAUGUUACCCAAGCUGAUCUUGAACUCCUGGGUUCAUGCGAUCCACCUGACUCAGCCUCACAAAGUGGUAGGACUACAGAAAAUGAACAGUACUAUUCUGCCCCAAACAAAGAGAUCAUGUGAUGAAGACUCACCAGAGCUAUUCUCUAUAAGCUUGAAGAGCAAUGGUAUCAGGUGCUUUUUUUUCUGAAGCUUUGGUAGUGUAACGGUUAGAGUCCUGGAAUUGGAAAAGCAAAUCCAGAAGUUGAGUUCCAUGACUUUUUUGCUGUUUGCCUUUGGACUUGCAUCGUUUAUAUUUUUAAUUCAUCGAGGAUGAGAAAAUUGAUUAACACAAAAUCUUUUCAUGUCUUUUCUGAUGAGAGACUAGUUGAAUCCAAGAAGAGAAGCCCUUGAAGAGUGUAUUCUAUUCUAGACAAGCAUUCACACAUUGGCUUCUUUGGUGCCAGGUAAUUAGAAUUUGUAAUUUGGUCUUAAUUAAAUUGCAGACUACCCAAAGGCCUUGAUCAGUGGCCUUUU